GAGUUUGAUCAUGGCUCAGGAUGAACGCUGGCGGCGUGCUUAACACAUGCAAGUCGAACGGGCGAAUUAUAUCGGAGGUCUUCGGGCCGAAGAGAUAAUAAGCUAGUGGCGGACGGGUGCGUAACGUGUGGGUAAUCUGCCUUUGUCAUAGGAAUAACUGCUUGAAAAAGUAGCUAAUACCAAAUAACAUAUCGUAUAGGCAUCUAUAAGAUAUCAAAGAGAAAACGGACAAAGAUGAGCCCGCAUCUGAUUAGCUGGUUGGUAGGGUAAAAGCCUACCAAGGCGACGAUCAGUAGCCGGCCUGAGAGGGUGAACGGCCACAUUGGAACUGAGACACGGUCCAAACUCCUACGGGAGGCAGCAGUGGGGAAUAUUGCACAAUGGGGGGAACCCUGAUGCAGCAACGCCGCGUGAGUGAAGAAGGCUUUCGAGUCGUAAAACUCUGUUGUAAGGGAAGAUAAUGACG
rnacentral:rRNA from 1 species